rnacentral:rRNA from 1 species
AUUGAACGCUGGCGGAAUGCUUUACACAUGCAAGUCGAACGGUAGAGGGAGCAACCCCUCGAGAGUGGCGAACGGGUGAGUAACAUAUCGGAACGUGCCCAGUCGUGGGGGAUAACGUAGCGAAAGUUACGCUAAUACCGCAUACGGUCUAAGGAUGAAAGCGGGGGAUCGCAAGACCUCGCGCGAUUGGAGCGGCCGAUAUCAGAUUAGGUAGUUGGUGGGGUAAAGGCUCACCAAGCCAACGAUCUGUAGCUGGUCUGAGAGGACGACCAGCCACACUGGAACUGAGACACGGUCCUGACUCCUACGGGAGGCAGCAGUGGGGAAUUUUGGACAAUGGACGCAAGUCUGAUCCAGCCAUUCCGCGUGCAGGAUGAAGGCCCUCGGGUUGUAAACUGCUUUUGUACGGAACGAAAAGGUCUCUCUUAAUACGGGGGGCUCAUGACGGUACCGUAAGAAUAAGCACCGGCUAACUACGUGCCAGCCGCCGCUGUAA